UGCCAGCAGCCGCGGUAAUACAGAGGGUGCAAGCGUUGUUCGGAUUUACUGGGCGUAAAGAGAAUGUAGGCGGUAUUGAGAGUCAAAGGUGAAAUCCCCGAGCUCAACUCGGGAACUGCCUUUGAGACCUCAGUACUAGAGUGUGAAAGGGGCUAGCAGAAUUCCAGGUGUAGCGGUGAAAUGCGUAGAGAUCUGGAGGAAUACCUGUGGCGAAGGCGGCUAGCUGGUUCAUGACUGACGCUGAGAUUCGAAAGCGUGGGGAGCAAACAGGAUUAGAUA
rnacentral:rRNA from 1 species